rnacentral:rRNA from 1 species
AUUGAACGCUGGCGGCAGGCCUAACACAUGCCAGUCGAGCGGAUGAAGGGAGCUUGCUCCUGGAUUCAGCGGCGGACGGGUGAGUAAUGCCUAGGAAUCUGCCUGGUAGUGGGGGAUAACGUCCGGAAACGGGCGCUAAUACCGCAUACGUCCUGAGGGAGAAAGUGGGGGAUCUUCGGACCUCACGCUAUCAGAUGAGCCUAGGUCGGAUUAGCUAGUUGGUGGGGUAAAGGCCUACCAAGGCGACGAUCCGUAACUGGUCUGAGAGGAUGAUCAGUCACACUGGAACUGAGACACGGUCCAGACUCCUACGGGAGGCAGCAGUGGGGAAUAUUGGACAAUGGGCGAAAGCCUGAUCCAGCCAUGCCGCGUGUGUGAAGAAGGUCUUCGGAUUGUAAAGCACUUUAAGUAGGGAGGAAGGGCAGUAAGUUAAUACCUUGCUGUUUUGACGUUACCAACAGAAUAAGCACCGGCUAACUUCGUG